GCUUCACGGACAUCAAUUUUUAUUUGAUUAUAAAAAAGCAAUUCUGUGGGUGAUAGUUUUGUUCGUUUGUUGUCUUGAAAUUACUGUAUUUUUUUCACAACAGUAGAGGAUUUUGGAUAAAUUAGUGGCACUUUGACUAGGUAAAUCAUCGUAAUUUUCUUCUAAAAAAGUAAACAGUACUUUAGAUCUUCUUCCUGAGUUUGGUCAGAGUUGUAGAAAUACUGCCACUCCAUCAAAAGGGGGUGAAACAGCAAAUGCUUUCUCUUUUUAAAAAAGUCUAUGCAAAACGCAGAAGACCGGUAUUAGAAAUGUGCUUCUGAAGCCUUUGUGAUGCAAAGUCAGCGGGGUCUUGGCAGUCAGCGUCACGUGGGACUCAGUGUGGCUGACCCUGGUGAGGUUAACUCUGUGUCCAACAGUUGGCACCUGGCAUUUCAGCAUAGAAUAGGCUUUACCCUGGAGAAAAGUAUGGUCAACCAGAAGAGGUGGUUCAGAAGACCAGGCACUCCGAGAACUGGUAGAUCCAGACAAUCAAGUUGGGAAGAGACGGCUCUGUCCAGGUGCCCAAGGAUUUAGACUUUCUGAGGGCUUUGGGCAGCAUGAACUAGCUCUGGGGGCUGGAUUCCUGUCCUCUGCCACUCCUUCUCUCCUCCAUGGCAGCAUGUUUCA
rnacentral:lncRNA from 1 species